rnacentral:rRNA from 1 species
UGGUGGAGUGAUUUGUCUGGUUGAUUCCGUUAACGAACGAGACCUUGGCUUACUAAAUAGCUACGGCAGACCUUGUGUCUGACCGGAUACGCUUCUUAGAAGGACCACCGGUAGCAAGCCGGAGGAAGUGCGAGGCAAUAACA